UACAGAGGUCCCAAGCGUUGUUCGGAUUCAUUGGGCGUAAAGGGUGCGUAGGCGGCGCGGUAAGUCGGGUGUGAAAUUUCGAGGCUUAACUUCGAAACUGCAUUCGAUACUGCCGUGCUUGAGGACUGGAGAGGAGACUGGAAUUUACGGUGUAGCGGUGAAAUGCGUAGAUAUCGUAAGGAAGACCAGUGGCGAAGGCGGGUCUCUGGACAGUUCCUGACGCUGAGGCACGAAGGCCAGGGGGAGCAAAACGGG
rnacentral:rRNA from 1 species